GCGUUAUUAGAGCGGCCGAUAUCUGAUUAGCUAGUUGGUGGGGUAAAAGCCUACCAAGGCGACGAUCAGUAGCUGGUCUGAGAGGACGACCAGCCACACUGGAACUGAGACACGGUCCAG
rnacentral:rRNA from 1 species